AGCGAACGCUGGCGGCAGGCUUAACACAUGCAAGUCGAACGCCCCGCAAGGGGAGUGGCAGACGGGUGAGUAACACGUGGGAACGUACCCUUUGGUUCGGAAUAACUUGGGGAAACUCAAGCUAAUACCGGAUAAGCCCUUAUGGGGAAAGGUUUACUGCCGAAGGAUCGGCCCGCGUCUGAUUAGCUAGUUGGUGAGGUAAUGGCUCACCAAGGCGACGAUCAGUAGCUGGUCUGAGAGGAUGAUCAGCCACACUGGGACUGAGACACGGCCCAGACUCCUACGGGGGGGAGGAGUGGGGAAUAUUGGACAAGGGGGGCAACCCUGAACCAGCCAUGCCGCGUGAGUGAUGAAGGCCUUAGGGUUGUAAAGCUCUUUUACCCGGGACGAUAAUGCGUGUACCGGGAGAAUAAGCCCCGGCAAACUUCGUGCCGCCCGCGGGGGUAA
rnacentral:rRNA from 1 species